AUUGAACGCUGGCGGCAGGCCUAACACAUGCAAGUCGCACGAGUGGCGGACGGGUGAGUAAUUUCUGGGAAACUGCCCGAUGGAGGGGGAUAACUACUGGAAAAGGUAGCUAAUACCGCAUACCAUCGGAUGUGCCCAGAUGGGAUUAGCUAGUCGGUGGGGUAACGGCUCACCUAGGCGACGAUCCCUCGCUGGUCUGAGAGGAUGACCAGCCACACUGGAACGAAGAAACGGUCCAGACUCCUACGGGAGGCAGCAGUGGGGAAUAGUGCACAAUGGGCGCAAGCCUGAUGCAGCCAUGCCGCGUGUAUGAAGAAGGCCUUCGGGUUGUAAAGUACUUUCAGCGAGGAGGCGUUACUCGCAGAAGAAGCACCGGCUAACUCCGUGCCAGCAGCCGCGGUAAUAC
rnacentral:rRNA from 1 species